GAUAUUUAUGUUUCAUACUUUACUUUUUGGAUUCAACCACCACCUCACUGGCGUUUCCUCUGGCAAAAUUUGAUUUUCUCCCUCCCACGGUGCUGGGUUCCAGCUCGGCACCAAGGCGAAGUUUAAACAGUAGCAGUAUUGACCUGAGGAGGAUCAAAUAUUAGUGGAAAUAUCUCUUAUUUUCACCUUUUUGGUUUUGGGUUUUUUUUUUUUCAUUAUUGAUAGUGACGCAUUCCAAAUUCCAUGCCCAUUUUUCCCUGAAAUGAUUUUUGUGAUAGCUCAACAAAAGAAAGAAGAGAAAAAAAAAAUUCGAGAAGAAGUGAAAAGGAGAGAAGAAACGAACCCUGAUGCGAUUAACUUUCCGUCAAAACUUGAACCAUCGAUGCAUGCCGGUACCAUCAACCGCCCCAACCCUG
rnacentral:sRNA from 1 species